GAUGAAGAACGUAGCAAAAUGCGAUAAGUAAUGUGAAUUGCAGAAUUCAGUGAAUCAUCGAAUCUUUGAACGCACAUUGCGCCCGCCAGUAUUCUGGCGGGCAUGCCUGUUCGAGCGUCAUUUCAACCCUCAAGCACAGCUUGGUGUUGGGACUCGCGUUAAUUCGCGUUCCCCAAAUUGAUUGGCGGUCACGUCGAGCUUCCAUAGCGUAGUAGUAAAACCCUCGUUACUGGUAAUCGUCGUGGCCACGCCGUUAAACCCCAACUUCUGAAUGUUGACCUCGGAUCAGGUAGGAAUACCCGCUGAACUUAAGCAUAUCAAUAAGCGGAGGA
rnacentral:misc_RNA from 1 species